rnacentral:rRNA from 1 species
GACAAGCCCUGGAAACGGGGUCUAAUACCGGAUACGACCUGCUCCCGCAUGGGGGUGGGUGGAAAGCUCCGGCGGUGCAGGAUGAGCCCGCGGCCUAUCAGCUUGUUGGUGGGGUGAUGGCCUACCAAGGCGACGACGGGUAGCCGGCCUGAGAGGGCGACCGGCCACACUGGGACUGAGACACGGCCCAGACUCCUACGGGAGGCAGCAGUGGGGAAUAUUGCACAAUGGGCGCAAGCCUGAUGCAGCGACGCCGCGUGAGGGAUGACGGCCUUCGGGUUGUAAACCUCUUUCAGCAGGGAAGAAGCGCAAGUGACGGUACCUGCAGAAGAAGCACCGGCUAACUACGUGCCAGCAGCCGCGGUAAUACGUAGGGUGCGAGCGUUGUCCGGAAUUAUUGGGCGUAAAGAGCUCGUAGGCGGCCUGUCGCGUCGGAUGUGAAAGCCCGGGGCUUAACCCCGGGUCUGCAUUCGAUACGGGCAGGCUGGAGUGUGGUAGGGGAGAUCGGAAUUCCUGGUG